GGGAUAAGCAUUUACAUAGAAAAUCUGUAUGUCACCCGGACUUGGCUUGCACCCUAUGGCUGUGAUCCAUUGCAGUCCUUUCCUACUGAUGCUCAGAGGAUGGACAUCAUAGUUCUCCCUCUCUAGACACCUGGUCAUUUCCAGUUGUGUGUAAGUCUUGUUUUUUGACACAUACAAACUGUUAGAAUUUUGCUAUGUGUCUGAGAUGUAUUCAAGCUUUUAUGACACAGUUUCAAAAGUCUUUGAUUGUGAUCGCUUGCAAUGACAUUGUUUUCAGGUUUGAAGUCAUGGCUAACUGUCUUUUAGGUACUGAAGCCACCUAAAAGAGAAAUCCUCUUUCUUGACCCAUUAUACACAAAGGCAGGAUUUGGUGGCCAACAAUAUGUUUCACUUUUGAGGUCACAUUUUUAUAAGCAUGUUUGGUUUGUUCCAGAGUUUUCAGGAACCUGUUCAGUGUUCCAGGUUAAGUGCAUCCCAGAUCAUGUUCUGCUGAUCUUGAGUGUUCACACAUACAGUACACUCACAUGCUUUUUUUAUAAACUAUAUCAGCAUGAUGCUUCAACAUUUUAUUCUAUUUCUCAUCUUCACAUUCUGAUCAAGUCAGCGAUGCUGUCUUUAGAUGAGUUUCAGACAUAAAUAGGGUCUUCAAAUGUUCUAGUUUAACAUAAAACACCAUUAAAUAUUAGUUUGUAAAAUAUGCCAACCUGAAAUUAAAGCUGAAAAUGCUUAAUUUUGACCAACUGUGAGCAUGUGACUGUACUUUUUCAUUUUGUUAUGCUGUUUUGUUGAGGUCGCGUUCCUAAGGCCUGUAGUUACAGUUGGUGCUAUUAGCAAUAAACAUUUCACACCCAUCAUGAUGAUGUCUGUUAACUUGUGAAUGUAACUGUCUUGAAAAAAAGGAAUCUUGCAGUGAAGCUCAUUCCCGGGCAGUGGUCAGAAAAAAGAGCUUUGACUUGAAGGGUUUUUCAAGCCAAGACUAUGGAGUUGACUGUGGGAUCUUCAUGCUGAUGUCUGCUCUGUACGUGGCACUGGAUGCACCAUUUGACUAUACUAUAUCAGACAUGCCCUACUUGCGUAAAUGGUGGUGCUUGCUGUUGAUGGAGAACUUUGAUCUCAGAAGCUCUGGCAAGCUAUUUGCACACUGGAGAGAGGAAGCCAAAGCUGUGCUUGAAGGACAACACGUGCCCAUUUUCAGACUGAAAA